GAUGAACGCUGGCGGCGUGCCUAAUACAUGCAAGUCGAGCGAACAGACGAGGAGCUUGCUCCUCUGACGUUAGCGGCGGACGGGUGAGUAACACGUGGAUAACCUACCUAUAAGACUGGGAUAACUUCGGGAAACCGGAGCUAAUACCGGAUAAUAUAUUGAACCGCAUGGUUCAAUAGUGAAAGACGGUUUUGCUGUCACUUAUAGAUGGAUCCGCGCCGCAUUAGCUAGUUGGUAAGGUAACGGCUUACCAAGGCAACGAUGCGUAGCCGACCUGAGAGGGUGAUCUGCCACACUGGAACUGAGACACGGUCCAGACUCCUACGGGAGGCAGCAGUAGGGAAUCUUCCGCAAUGGGCGAAAGCCUGACGGAGCAACGCCGCGUGAGUGAUGAAGGUCUUCGGAUCGUAAAACUCUGUUAUUAGAGAAGAACAAAUGUGUAAGUAACUAUGCACGUCUUGACGGUACCUAAUCAGAAAGCCACGGCUAACUACGUG
rnacentral:rRNA from 1 species